rnacentral:rRNA from 1 species
GGAUUAGAUACCCUGGUAGUCCACGCCGUAAACGAUCAUCACUCGCUGUUGGCGAUAUACUGUCAGCGGCCAAGCGAAAGUAUUAAGUGAUGCACCUGGGGAGUACGCCGGCAACGGUGAAACUCAAAGGAAUUGACGGGGGCCCGCACAAGCGGUGGAGCAUGUGGUUUAAUUCGAUGAUACGCGAGGAACCUUACCAGGGCUUAAAUGUAGUAUGACCGGUCUAGAAAUAGGCCUUCUCUUCGGAGCAGAUUACAAGGUGCUGCAUGGUUGUCGUCAGCUCGUGCCG